rnacentral:rRNA from 1 species
UGGGGAAUUUUCCGCAAUGGGCGCAAGCCUGACGGAGCAACGCCGCGUGUGGGAUGAAGGCCUGUGGGUUGUAAACCACUUUUCUCAGGGACGAAGCUCUGACGGUACCUGAGGAAUCAGCCUCGGCUAACUCUGUGCCAGCAGCCGCGGUAAGACAGAGGAGGCAAGCGUUAUCCGGAAUUAUUGGGCGUAAAGCGUCCGUAGGUGGUUUGACAAGUCUGGGGUCAAAGCCCGGAGCCCAACUCCGGAUCGGCCUUGGAAACUGUCAGACUGGAGUAAGGUAGGGGUUGCGGGAAUUCCCGGUGUAGCGGUGAAAUGCGUAGAUAUCGGGAAGAACACCAGCGGCGAAAGCGCGCAACUGGGCCAUUACUGACACUGAGGGACGAAAGCUAGGGGAGCGAAUGGGAUUAGAUACCCCAGUAGUC